UGGGGAAUAUUGCGCAAUGGAGGCAACCCUGACGCAGCCAUGCCGCGUGAAUGAAGAAGGCCUUCGGGUUGUAAAGUUCUUUCGGUAGCGAGGAAGGCAUUUAGUUUAAUAGACUAGGUGAUUGACGUUAACUACAGAAGAAGCACCGGCUAACUCCGUGCCAGCAGCCGCGGUAAUACGGAGGGUGCGAGCGUUAAUCGGAAUAACUGGGCGUAAAGGGCACGCAGGCGGUGACUUAAGUGAGGUGUGAAAGCCCCGGGCUUAACCUGGGAAUUGCAUUUCAUACUGGGUCGCUAGAGUACUUUAGGGAGGGGUAGAAUCCCACGUGUAGCGGUGAAAUGCGUAGAGAUGUGGAGGAAUACCGAAGGCGAAGGCAGCCCCUUGGGAAUGUACUGACGCUCAUGUGCGAAAGCGUGGGGAGCAAACAGGAUUAGAUACCCUGGUAGUCCACGCUGUAAACGAUGUCGAUUUGGGGGUUGAGCUUUGAGCUUGGCGCCCGUAGCUAACGUGAUAAAUCGACCGCCUGGGGAGUACGGCCGCAAGGUUA
rnacentral:rRNA from 1 species